rnacentral:rRNA from 1 species
ACGGAAGGCAGCAGUGGGGAAUAUUGCACAAUGGGGGAAACCCUGAUGCAGCGACGCCGCGUGAGUGAAGAAGUAUUUCGGUAUGUAAAGCUCUAUCAGCAGGGAAGAAAAUGACGGUACCUGACUAAGAAGCCCCGGCUAACUACGUGCCAGCAGCCGCGGUAAUACGUAGGGGGCAAGCGUUAUCCGGAUUUACUGGGUGUAAAGGGAGCGUAGACGGUUCUGCAAGUCUGAUGUGAAAGGCAGGGGCUCAACUCCUGGACUGCAUUGGAAACUGUAGAACUAGAGUGCCGGAGAGGUAAGCGGAAUUCCUAGUGUAGCGGUGAAAUACGUAGAUAUUAGGAGGAACACCAGUGGCGAAGGCGGCUUACUGGACGGUAACUGACGUUGAGGCUCGAAAGCGUGGGGAGCAAACAGGAUUAGAUACCCUGGUA